GAUGAACGCUGGCGGCGUGCCUAAUACAUGCAAGUCGAGCGAACGGACGAGAAGCUUGCUUCUCUGAUGUUAGCGGCGGACGGGUGAGUAACACGUGGAUAACCUACCUAUAAGGCUGGGAUAACUUCGGGAAACCGGAGCUAAUACCGGAUGAUAUUUUGAACCGCAUGGUUCAAAAGUGAAAGACGGUCUUGCUGUCACUUAUAGAUGGAUCCGCGCUGCAUUAGCUAGUUGGUAAGGUAACGGCUUACCAAGGCAACGAUGCAUAGCCGACCUGAGAGGGUGAUCGGCCACACUGGAACUGAGACACGGUCCAGACUCCUACGGGAGGCAGCAGUAGGGAAUCUUCCGCAAUGGGCGAAAGCCUGACGGAGCAACGCCGCGUGAGUGAUGAAGGUCUUCGGAUCGUAAAACUCUGUUAUUAGGGAAGAACAUAUGUGUAAGUAACUGUGCACAUCUUGACGGUACCUAAUCAAAAAGCCACGGCUAACUACGUG
rnacentral:rRNA from 1 species